CGUCACCAGAACCCUCUGCUUACUGGUCCAAACUGGUAACUCUGGGUCCAACCGCAAACACUUCUGAGAGAGCCGGAGCCAGAGAGACAGACAGAGGGACGGACAGAGAAAGAGACAAGACGUGGACAGACACAUAGACAGGUCCGGGAUCCCGAUUCGGACCACAAUGCUGUUUCCAGAGAGUGUGUCCUCCCCGUCAUCAUCCCUGGCGACAGCAGAGCCUGUUGGGUUGCCGUUAGUAACCGCCUGUUGCCGCAGGCGAUCAUGUUUGGUGUCAGCGGUCGGACUCAGAGGCAUGUGGCUGGAGAACAGAGAAGGAGAUCCUGGUUUGAUCCGGGCUGGAAAAGUUUUCAUUAAAGCAGGGCAACCUUUCAGGGGGAUUUCUUCAACGUCUUCCUAAGAUCGACUGCCAACUCUAAUCGGACCUCCAGACAUUGGACCACGUCCUGUUUUUCAUACUCAGCUGAACAUGUAAAAUGAAUCUGACUGCAGGGCUCGGACCAGGACCAUUCUUGACUCCUAAGUUGUAGGAUUCAAGAACUCCAACCCCACCAGCGCUGCUGAACUAUCCUAGCUCCGUUAGCCAACAGCAACAAUGCUGUCCUCUGUCUCCAUGUCUGUCUCUGAGGGAAGGAGACGCACAAAUCGCAUAUCUGGACCCAGCAGGUUCUGUGAGAGACAACAGCAGCACAUGUUGGACCCAAACAGACCCCUUCUCUUUGUCCUGAGCAGAUUCUGCUGUGAAUGCUGGUGGAUUCUCUUUUGGACCUUGGAUUUUUCUUCUCCCAUUAAGAUUAAAUUAGGUGAUAAAAAUAAGAUGCAACAAUCUUCCUCUGGUUGAACUGAAUGUUGUUUUUUCCCAUUAAUAAAUAAUAAUUAUAACAUUAGAAAUCUUAACUCAAAUAAAGGC